UAAAACAAGUAAGGAAGGGCUAAGUUCGGGUGUCACCGAACAUUUUAUACUCUCGCAUGAUAAAGUGAUAAUCGAGAUUUCAUUAUCCUGCAGCUUCCUUCUGCCAUUUCUUCCGUAAAAUUUAGUGUUUCUGACGUUUUUUGUUAGUCGGUUAACGCACUUUUAGUGAUUUUCAACAUAACCUUUGUAUGGGAGGUGGGCGUGGUUAUUAUCCGAUUUCUUCCAUUUUUGAACUGUAUAUGGAAAUAA